GAUAGCACAGGAUAAUCGAUUAUCCCGUGCGGCCCGUAUAAUAUGACCGCAUGGGAUAAUCGUUUAUCCCGUGCGGUC
rnacentral:pre_miRNA from 11 species